GGUGCUGCAUGGCUGUCGUCAGCUCGUGUUGUGAAAUGUUGGGUUAAGUCCCGCAACGAGCGCAACCCUUAUCCUUUGUUGCCAGCGAGUAAUGUCGGGAACUCAAAGGAGACUGCCGGUGAUAAACCGGAGGAAGGUGGGGAUGACGUCAAGUCAUCAUGGCCCUUACGGCCAGGGCUACACACGUGCUACAAUGGCGCAUACAAAGAGAAGCGACCUCGCGAGAGCAAGCGGACCUCAUAAAGUGCGUCGUAGUCCGGAUCGGAGUCUGCAACUCGACUCCGUGAAGUCGGAAUCGCUAGUAAUCGUAGAUCAGAAUGCUACGGUGAAUACGUUCCCGGGCCUUGUACA
rnacentral:rRNA from 1 species